AGAGUUUGAUCCUGGCUCAGAUUGAACGCUGGCGGAAUGCUUUACACAUGCAAGUCGAACGGCAGCACGGACUUCGGUCUGGUGGCGAGUGGCGAACGGGUGAGUAAUAUAUCGGAACGUGCCCAGUCGUGGGGGAUAACGUAGUGAAAAUUACGCUAAUACCGCAUACGAUCUAAGGAUGAAAGCGGGGGAUCGCAAGACCUCGCGCGAUUGGAGCGGCCGAUAUCAGAUUAGGUAGUUGGUGAGGUAAAGGCUCACCAAGCCAACGAUCUGUAGCUGGUCUGAGAGGACGACCAGCCACACUGGAACUGAGACACGGUCCAGACUCCUACGGGAGGCAGCAGUGGGGAAUUUUGGACAAUGGACGCAAGUCUGAUCCAGCCAUUCCGCGUGCAGGACGAAGGCCUUCGGGUUGUAAACUGCUUUUGUACAGAACGAAAAGGUCUCUAUUAAUACUAGGGGCUCAUGACGGUACUGUAAGAAUAAGCACCGGCUAACUACGUGCCAGCAGCCGCGGUAACACGUAGGGUGCAAGCGUUAAUCGGAAUUACUGGGCGUAAAGCGUGCGCAGGCGGUUAUAUAAGACAGAUGUGAAAUCCCCGGGCUCAACCUGGGAACUGCAUUUGUGACUGUAUAGCUGGAGUGCGGCAGAGGGGGAUGGAAUUCCGCGUGUAGCAGUGAAAUGCGUAGAUAUGCGGAGGAACACCGAUGGCGAAGGCAAUCCCCUGGCCUGCACUGACGCUCAUGCACGAAAGCGUGGGGAGCAAACAGGAUUAGAUACCCUGGUAGUCCACGCCCUA
rnacentral:rRNA from 1 species